rnacentral:rRNA from 1 species
UACAGAGGGUGCGAGCGUUGUCCGGAAUCACUGGGCGUAAAGGGCGCGUAGGUGGCCUGAUACGUCGGGGGUGAAAUCUCGAGGCUCAACUUCGAGGCUGCCUCCUAAACUGUCAGGCUUGAGCAGAGUAGAGGCAGGUGGAAUUCCCGGUGUAGCGGUGGAAUGCGUAGAGAUCAGGAGGAACACCGGUGGCGAAGGCGGGUCUCUGGGCCGAAACUGACGCUGAGGAGCGAAAGCGUGGGGAGCAAACAGG